rnacentral:tRNA from 1 species
GCCCCCGUAGCUCAGGCGGAUAGAGCAGUGGUUUCCUAAACCAUGUGCGCGUGUUCGAGUCACGCCGGGGGUA